rfam:Triticum aestivum genome assembly, contig: Triticum_aestivum_CS42_TGACv1_scaffold_050906_1BS
UCAAUACUCCCUCCGUCCGAAAAUACUUGUCAUCAAAAUGGACAAAAAAAGAUAUAUCUCAAACUAAAAUAUGUCUAGAUACAUCCCCUUUUAUCCAUUUUGAUGACAAGUAUUUCCGGACGGAGGGAGUAUAUG